UAUGUGAUCGUCUCUCGCAUAUCAAUAAGCGGAGGAAAAGAAACUAACAAGGAUUCCCCUAGUAACGGCGAGUGAAGCGGGAAGAGCUCAAAUUUGAAAUCUUAAAGGGUUUCCCUUUACGAAUUGUAGUUUAAAGAAGUGUUUUCUGUUGAGGUUUUGGUAAAAGUUCUUUGGAAUAGGACAUCAUAGAGGGUGAGAAUCCCGUAUUUGACCUUUACUUUCAACUUUGUGAUACACUUUCAAAGAGUCGGAUUGUUUGGGAAUGCAGUCCAAAAUGGGUGGUAAAUUUCAUCUAAAGCUAAAUAUUGGCGAGAGACCGAUAGCGAACAAGUACCGUGAGGGAAAGAUGAAAAGAACUUUGAAAAGAGAGUUAAACAGUACGUGAAAUUGUCAAAAGGGAAGCGUUUGACACCAGUGUUGUUUUUCUGAAAAUCAAUUAAAGAACUGUUUAUGCUAAGUUGUUUAGACUUUAUCAGCUAUCUGUUUAGUUUUGAGCUUUUCUUUAAUGCACUUUUCAGUUAACAAGUCAACAUCAAUUUCUUUUGCUGUAAAAAAGCUUGAGGAAGGUGGCUUGAGAUUCGUCUUAAGUGUUUAUAGCCUCUUGCCUAUGCAGUCGGAGAGAUUGAGGUCUGCAGCGUAGAUCCUUCGGGGCUAAAUGCAUUUGUGCUAAGUUAUAGCAUUUUAUAGACAACUUGUUGACUAUGAUUUGUCUUGUAGCUUACUCGCUUAUGUUAUUUUACCUACGCUUAGGAUGUUGAUCUGUAGUGCGUGCGC
rnacentral:rRNA from 1 species